rnacentral:lncRNA from 1 species
GCUACAAGUGGAGGGUGAUUGCCUCGUGGUCUGUUGUCUGCGAAAACUUCUGCGAGCAGGCAAGCUGAGUCUCCCGCAUGCCCGUGCGCCUUGCAACUUGCGAAUUGACACGCUAAUUUUCCCCCACUCCUGCAUAUGCGAGAUGACUGUGCACAGCAAAGUUGGUACCUUAGAUCUGUGUGUCCACAUGCUAACACCAGCCCGCAGAUAAGGAAACUUUCUGUCCUCCACAGGUUGCAUUUGGUUUUUUCUUUUUAAUUUACAUAUUCAUUUUCACAAGAAUUUUAACUCAAUGCAAAUACAACUAAAAAUAAAUUAAAAU